UACGUAGGUGGCAAGCGUUAUCCGGAAUUAUUGGGCGUAAUGAGCGCGCAGGUGGUUAAUUAAGUCUGAUGUGAAAGCCCACGGCUUAACCGUGGAGGGUCAUUGGAAACUGGUUGACUUGAGUGCAGAAGAGGGAAGUGGAAUUCCAUGUGUAGCGGUGAAAUGCGUAGAGAUAUGGAGGAACACCAGUGGCGAAGGCGGCUUCCUGGUCUGCAACUGACACUGAGGCGCGAAAGCGUGGGGAGCAAACAGG
rnacentral:rRNA from 1 species